rnacentral:lncRNA from 1 species
GGCCACCUUGUGGCACAUGGAGUUCCCAGGCAAGGGACGCCAGAUGCUUUAACCCACUGUGCCCACCGGGAAUAGAACCUGAAAAACGUCGCUGAUCCUGCUGUACCACAACAGGAACUCCCAUCUUUUUUCUCCUUACAAUUAAUUUAUUUUUUGUCAUUUGUUUUGUAACCCUUCCAUUUUGCUAAUUUCAUCCCCAUGGUGUCAUUUAACGUUUCCCACUUUCUCUGUAUUUCCUAUAAAAUAGAAAUUGGACUUACAGUUUGAUCAGACUCAGGCUUGAUUAAAAAAAAAAAAAAAAAAGGAAAAAAAAAAACACUCUGGGGCGUUCCCAUCGUGGCUCAAUGGUAAUAAACCCAGCUAAUAUCCUUGAGGACUCAGGUUCAAUCCCUGACUUUGCCCAGUGGGUUAAGGAUCUGGCGUUUCGGUGAGCUGUGGUUGCAGACAUGGCUCAGAUCUGACAUUGCUGUGAGCUGUGGUAUAAGCCAGCAGCUACAGCUUGGAUUCAACCCCUAACCUGGCAACUGCCAUAUGCCAUGGGUGCAGCCCUAAAAAAACAAAACAAACAGAAGAACGCUUUUUAUGUGGUAGCCAAUUGUCUCCUUUUGUGAUGUGAACAGGUGUGAUUCUCAAUACUAUUAAUAAAUAGUAUCAAGCAUGUAUUAAUAAUUAUUAAUUAAUAAUUAUCCUAUUUAUUAAGUACUGCAAAAUGGUGAUAUUUCAAUUACUGAAUUUAUUAGAUGAAAUGUUUUGCACAUUAUUCUGAUUGUCCUGCAUGAUUCCCAUCUUCUGCAAUUGAUGGAAUACUAGUAUCCUUUCAAACCAACCAAAACAUCAUCUCUCAGUGAAGCCUUGCCCUCCUCCCAGCAGAGUUCACCCUUCUAAUCCUAGAAAGGCAUCAUUAUAAUAAUGCUUAUCACAGUGAUUUAUAAAUUUAAUACCUCUAUUCCUGGGACUGGAGCACUUCAAAAAUAGAUAUAGCCUUUGGUCCUAGCAUUUGUACAAAAUAUUUAUUGACAAAAAUGUGCAGGAUUUCACUUUAGAAAAGUAUCAUUUCAGUGACAUUAUGUAAAAGGCAGGUUACAAAGCAGCUGGCAGUGAUGUAACCAUUACUCAGAGUUACCGCUUUACAAAGUGGAGUAGCACAGAGUGACCAAGUGUCCACUGUCAAACAUCCACCAGACCUACAGGAGAACUUGGGGCCUAACUUUUAAAAAUGCAGAGAAGACACAGUAAGAAUCAGGUUGAGUCAGUGUCCUUUCUAGGAAUUCCAUCAGUAUCAAGUCAGAAGCAGAUCAGAUUUGAACCCUGGUGGCGUAUCAAUAUUUCAGAAGUGAAAGGAGGCCCUGAAAAAGAUAACUGAAAGAAGUACUAGAGAAUUUGUUUCCUAGAAUGCUGAAUUUGCUUUGAUCUGUUUCAUUUGGGGGUGAUUUUUUUUUCUGAUCGUCCUAUAGUAUUUAUUUGAAUCUUACGCUGGGAUCUGAAAGCUGAGAGCAUGGAUCCAAUCUUCUGUUAACUCUUCUUCCUCUGGUGUAAAACUAAGGUUUCAAAUCCUAAAGAACUCCAGGAGUCAGCAAUUCAGUCAGCGAUAUAUAAAAAUAUUCUCUCCUGACCUUUUAUCUUUAAGUCAGCCUGAUCAAGUCACACACCAGCCAGCAAAUAAUUUUAACUUUGUUUUAAUGGAAAUUUUCUUGGACCUGUGCUCUUGGCCCUUCUUACACUUCACUCCCUGUUCUUCUGCACACAUCUACUUCAUCUGCCCUUACUGCCCCAGUACUGUGAUAAAGAGGUAGGCUCUCACCACCUCUUUUAUAAUUGAUACCCUGGGAGCUUAGAUUGUUCUAUCAGAGGCAGUACCAAAUCUAAUCCCCCCACCCUCCUCUUCCCUCCUUCCCUACUUGUUUGAAGGUGAUAUACUGUCGUGGUUCUUCUAGCUACUAUGUACAAUUCCACAAAAGUCCUAAUAUCUUCACUUUUCCUCCUGAAUAUAAGAACAUGAAAAUUAGGGUCCUAGUCGCCCCAAGUUACACACUAUUGUUGCCCAGGAUUUUAAUUCUGUUCCUUAUUUUCCUCCAACAAAUUGCAUACCAUGCUUUUACAGUUAAUUCUUGCUCACUUUCACCAUUACUUACCAAUAUCUGUGUUCAGUGUUCCUUCUUGCAUCUGACUUCCUUUUAAAAUCAUUUUACUUCUGCCUCGGGAUAUCCUAUAUUACCUGAGGAAAACCCUGCCUUUGUCUGACAAUGUUUUGGAGUUCCCAUCGUGGCACAGGGGAAACCAAUCCGACUAGGAACCAUGAGUUUUCGAUCCCUGGCCUCAGUGGGUUAAGGAACCGGUAUUGCUGUGAGCUGUGGUGUAGGUCGCAGGUGCAGCUUGGAUCUGGCGUGGCUGUGGCUGUGGUGUAGGCUGGCCGCUGUAGCUCUGAUUCUACCCCUAGCCUGAGAACCUGCAUAUAUCACAGGUGCAGCCCUAAAAAGCAAGAGCUUUUGUGUGUCUUUGUCUCCUUAUUCACUUGUGGUGUUUUCUUUGUGCACCUUAUGAUUUUUUUCUUGUUUUUUAGGGCUGCAUCUGCGGCAUACGGAGGUUCCCAGACUAGGGGUUGAAUUGGAGCUGCCACAGCAACGCCAGAUCUGAGCCUCGUCUAUGACCUACCCCACAGCUCACAGCAACACCAAUCCUUAAUCCACUGAGCGGGGCCAGGGAUCCAACCUGCUUCCUAAUGGACAUUAGUCAGAUUCACUACCGCUGAGCCAUGACGGAGCUCCAGCACCUUACAAUCUUUAAACAGGGCUGUUCGUUUGCCUUGGAAGUUUACAUAUGGGAACUGAAGCCUUAGAGGGAUUGCAUUUGCUUCAGGAAAUCACCUGGAGGUAUGACCAGCUCUAAGCAGAUAGAGUAGGGCUCCAGACAAAGCUUUUUUUUUUUUCUGGCCUUGCUCACAGCAUAUGAAAGUUCCUGGCACCACAGCAGUGACCCAAGCCAUUGCAGUGACAAUGCUAGAUCCUUAAGCCGCUGCACGAGAACUCCCAGAUAGUUUUUUAACAUAAGAGAAGCCAUUUUAGGCCUAAAACCAUUUUGUGAUCUAAGCCUGAUCAGAACACUUGCCCUUGAAUAGGUCUCAUUAAUAAUGAUCUUAAAGGGGAGUUCCCGUCGUGGCGCAGUGGUUAACGAAUCCGACUAGGAACCAUGAGGUUGCGGGUUCGGUCCCUGCCCUUGUUCAGUGGGUUAACGAUCCGGCGUUGCCGUGAGCUGUGGUGUAGGUCGCAGACGCGGCUCGGAUCCCGCGUUGCUGUGGCUCUGGCGUAGGCCGGUGGCUACAGCUCCGAUUCAACCCCUAGCCUGGGAACCUCCAUAUGCCGUGGGAGCGGCCCAAGAAGAAAGCAAAAAGACAAAAAAAAAAAAAAAAAAAAAAAA